AUAUCUUAUUUUAAGGUAAGAUAUAUUUGUUAGUGAAAUAUAUCGCGGGAUAGAGGAGAGGUACCUCGGGAGGCUCAAAUUGGGCUCACUAUCCAGUAAUGGGUAAUGGAAACCCUGCCAAAUUCGGUGAAACCUUCUUCGUUAAAAGCGAAUGGCAACGCCGAGCCAAGCCGAGCACUACUUUUGGUUUCUAGAAUAUUCUAGAAUUCAAAAGUGGUGCUCGGAAGGUGUAGAGACUAGACGACAGGCACCCUAUUAUGUAGGGUGAAGGCAUAGUCCAGACCACAAACUUAAUAUAG
rnacentral:ncRNA from 1 species